CUUUUUAUAUGUUUUAUAUUUAUAUUUCUGACUGAUCGACAAUAACGAUAUGCGUCUCAUUUUUUAGUCUACGGUAUAUCAGCAUUUUCAGACUAAAUAUAUUUUGCAUAGUUAAACGUGACUUCACGUUGAACAGUUAACUUAAGAUUCUGCAUGACAUCAAGUAAUUAUCAAUAAUUCGACGCGAAAUACUUGAAACGACUUUGGAACACGUUUUAAACACCGCGGCAGAGCAAACAAACUCGCCGCCUGAAAAAAAAAAAUUCAACUAGAGAAUCCGCGUGAUAGUUAAUACACGUGGAUGCAUAAAAAAAUAAAAAAAAAAAUUCAUUCAGCGCAUGAUUACAAAUAAUUAGACGUGAACUGAAACGUGAAAUUAGACGUGUUCGAAACAGCUCUCUGACGCGUUUAAGUUAUCGCGGCAUGGAGAUCCACCAUAUCUGUGAUAAAAACCUAUUGAAAUCCGCGUGAUGGCGAACACGCGUGUAUAUACCAAAAGAUAAGAAGAAGGAUUGUUCGACGUAUAAUUAUCAAUAAUUCAAGGCGAACUGCUUGAAACGGUUUUCCAACACAGUUUUAAACAUCACGGUCGAGCAAGUCAACUCGCCGUUCGAUAAAAACUUUGGAAAAUCCAUGCGACAAUGAGUAUGCGUGUGUGUGUGUGUGUGUGUAGAAAAAUUAAGAAAAAAAAAAGAAAGAGAAAAGCCCGUUCGACGUAUAAUUAUUAAUAAAUGUACUCGAACUACUUGUACGAAACUGCUGUGAAACACGUUUUAAGAUACGCGGUAGGGUAAAUCAGCUCGCCGUUCGAUAAAAAUUCAGAAAGAUUUGCGUGACAAUAAACACGCAAAAAAUUAACAAAAAAAAAGAGAAAACGUUCGACGCGCAAUUGUUAACAAUUGAAAUCGCGAGCCUCUUAAAACAGUCUUUUGUGUAUAUUUCAAAUUCCCGCGGUAAUAUGGGCAUCCUCGUCGCUCAAUAUGAGUGACCUCUUUCGAUCUCGCACGUUAUCGUCGAUGUGCCAUCUGCCGGAAGGUGCCUGGAAACAUGAAGAAUACCCGCUUUAAUACCGAUCGCGGCAAAUGAUCGCUGUCAAAAUUCACGCGCGGAGGACAACGCUGAAACAAUAGUCCCGGUUGAUUCGCCACGUUGCAUCGCUCCUUCCGGCAUAACGCUCUCACGUUGCUCACGACUCGGGUGAUCGACGCGAAUCCGGGGAUAAAUCGAUCAAUCGUUUCCGAUUCGCGUCGUCAGCCACGCGUGACAUUCGUGCCGGACUCGUCAUCGUCCAAAAAUACAUACCGGUUGACGAACGCAAGAACGUGUAGACGGAAGAGGUAGAGAAAGAUCGACUGGUCUAGCUAGAGAGAGAUCGCGCCUCGAAGAGGGUGAAUCGUAUCUCGAAAACGCGCAUAGAUAGUCGCCACUACCACGAUGGAUAAGACAAAAUUGGUGAGCAAUGAUUUUGAGCUGCCGCCGUUGCGCAGCCUGGAUGACUUUCUGCUCGGUUCCGCACGCUUCCAAAUACCGAAUUUGAAAGACUUGGAAAAAUGGGGCAACCGUGUAGUCAACAAUCUCCUAUAUUAUCAAACCAACUACUUGUUCAUGUCUGUCAUCAUCUUUCUCGUCGUUGGAUUGAUUCAUCCUGUUAAAAUGUUAGUCGGUAUGUUAGCCAUGUUGGUCAUCUUGGGAGUAUUCAUCUAUGUAUCCAUGGAAGGAAGCGCAGCAUAUAACUUUAAGAAACGAUAUCCAGCAGUUGGGAUAACUUUUAUAAUACUAGCAGGAUGUUUUCUAACAUAUACUCUGGGAUCGCUCAUUGUUUUCUUCCUGGGCAUACUGUUGCCAUUUUGUGUGACUUUUGUGCACGCAUCACUGAGAUUAAGAAAUAUGAAGAACAAACUUGUCAAUAAAAUUGAGGGUAUUGGCUUGAAACGUACGCCGAUGGGUAUUUUCCUGGAACAUCUCGGUAUGGAAGAAGAAUUCUUUGCAUAAAUUUCUAUAGUUUGAUGUUUUCGAGUCAUUAAGGUAGAUUGAGUGAAAAUGCUUUGCAAUUUAACAACCUCUUGCUAUACCGUAUACACAACACUAUAUAUGUUUUCAUACCAAUCCAUAUAAUACGAAGCUUUGACAUCUAUUUUCAAAUGUACCUUAGAAGACGUGACUGGUUUCGCCUUGCGUGCACAGACAUCUCUCAUACAACCGCCUCACUAAUAUCCUGCUUUGCACAUCAGGUUGUAUAUAAAUUAAAUCGAUAGAUAGAAGUUAACGUCAAUAAGCGUUAACGUUUGUCAUCACUGCUGGUCUAAUCGGGUUACAAUGUUUCGCGUAGUUUUACCGCGACGGGUACAUCUAUUCGAAGUAAGUUAUCAAACAAAAAGUAAUUGUGUAUCUGCGACACUUACGAAGAGAAAAUUUAACAGAUAUCUGUUACUUGAACCAAAAACGACAAAAAGAAAAGACUAUUCCACACAACAACGCUGUACCAUUUUAUCUACAA
rnacentral:misc_RNA from 1 species